rnacentral:rRNA from 1 species
UACGUAGGGUGCAAGCGUUAAUCGGAAUUACUGGGCGUAAAGCGUGCGCAGGCGGCUUUGCAAGACAGAUGUGAAAUCCCCGGGCUUAACCUGGGAACUGCAUUUGUGACUGCAAGGCUAGAGUACGGUAGAGGGGGAUGGAAUUCCGCGUGUAGCAGUGAAAUGCGUAGAUAUGCGGAGGAACACCGAUGGCGAAGGCAAUCCCCUGGACCUGUACUGACGCUCAUGCACGAAAGCGUGGGAAGCAAACAGG